AUUGAACGCUGGCGGCAUGCCUUACACAUGCAAGUCGAACGGCAGCACGGGGGCAACCCUGGUGGCGAGUGGCGAACGGGUGAGUAAAGCAUCGGAACGUACCCGGAAGUGGGGGAUAACGUAGCGAAAGUUACGCUAAUACCGCAUAUUCUGUGAGCAGGAAAGCAGGGGAUCGCAAGACCUUGCGCUUUCGGAGCGGCCGAUGUCGGAUUAGCUAGUGGGUGGGGUAAAGGCCUACCAAGGCGACGAUCCGUAGCGGGUCUGAGAGGAUGUACCGCCAGAUGGGGACUGGGACACGGCCCAGACUCCGACGGGAGGCAGCAGUGGGGAAUUUUGGACAAUGGGCGAAAGCCUGAUCCAGCCAUGCCGCGUGAGUGAAAAAGGCCUUCGGGUUGUAAGGCUCUUUCGGCGGGGAAGAAAUCGCACUUACUAAUACUGAGUGUGGAUGACGGUACCCGAAUAAGAAGCACCGGCUAACUACGUGCCAGCAGCCGCCGUAA
rnacentral:rRNA from 1 species